rnacentral:rRNA from 1 species
GUGUCAGCCGCCGCGGUAAUACGAAGGGGGCUAGCGUUGCUCGGAAUCACUGGGCGUAAAGCGCACGUAGGCGGACUCUUAAGUCAGGGGUGAAAUCCUGGAGCUCAACUCCAGAACUGCCUUUGAUACUGGGAGUCUUGAGUCCGGAAGAGGUAAGUGGAACUGCGAGUGUAGAGGUGAAAUUCGUAGAUAUUCGCAAGAACACCAGUGGCGAAGGCGGCUUACUGGUCCGGAACUGACGCUGAGGUGCGAAAGCGUGGGGAGCAAACAGGAUUAGAUACCCUAGUAGUCC